UACGGAGGGUGCAAGCGUUGUCCGGAUUUAUUGGGUUUAAAGGGUGCGUAGGCGGCCCUGUAAGUCAGUGGUGAAAUACUGCAGCUUAACUGUAGCAUUGUCAUUGAUACUGUAGGGCUUGAGUACAGAUGAGGUAGGCGGAAUUGAUGGUGUAGCGGUGAAAUGCAUAGAUACCAUCAAGAACACCGAUUGCGAAGGCAGCUUACUAAGCUGUAACUGACGCUGAGGCACGAAAGCGUGGGGAUCGAACAGG
rnacentral:rRNA from 1 species